rnacentral:tRNA from 1 species
ACCUGGCUGGCUCAGUCAGUGGAGUGUAUGACUCUUAAUUGUGGGGUUGUGAGUUCAAGUCCCACAUUGGGUA